rnacentral:rRNA from 1 species
GCUGCCUCGUGGGGAAGCACUGUGUAGUGAACAGAGUUUGAUUGCGGCUCAGAUUGAACGCUGGCGGGAUGCUUUACACAUGCAAGUCGAACGGCAGCACGGACUUCUCGGUCUGCAUAAGUGGCGAACGGGGUGAGUAAUGACUGGAACGUGCCUAGUAGCGGGGAUAACUACGCAGCGUAGCUAAUACCGCAUACGCCCUUCGGGGGAAAGCGGGGACCUUCGGGCCUCGCACUAUUAGGAGCGGCCGAUAUCGGGACAGCGUAGUUGGUGUGUAGCCGCUCACCAAGGCGACGAUCCUAGCUGUUUGAGAGGACGACCAGCCACAACGGGACCGAGACACGGCCCAGACCUCACGGGCGGUGGGGCCUGGACAACGGUAGUGUUCCCGAUCUGGUCCAUCCUGCGUAAAAGGCGAUGAAGGCCUUCAAGUCAAAGCACUUUUUUGGCAGGGGAAAGAAGCGGCACGGGAUAAUACCCCGUGCAACUGACGGUACCUGCAGAAUAAGCACUGUUAACCACGUGCCAGCAGCCAGUGCAUGAUGUAGUGCAAGCGUUAAUCGGAAUUUAUCAGCAAGCGUGCGCAGGCGGUUCGGAAAGAAAGAUGUGAAAUCCCAGAGCUUAACUUUUGGAACUGCAUUUUUAACUACCGGAGCCAUGUCGAGAUAGUGAGCGUAAUCAUGCGGUAGCAGCAAAUGCAGAUAUGCGGAGGAACACCGAUGGCGAAGGCAGCCUCCUGGGAUAACGACGCUCAUGCACGAAAGCGUGGGAGCAAAACAGGAUUAGGAUACCUCUGGUAGUCCACGCCCUAAAACGAUGUCAACUAGCUGUUGGGGCCUUUCGGGCCUUGGUAGCGCAGCUAACGCGUGAAGUUAUAUCCGUUCGGGGAGUAAUAAUGUGCUGAUUGAAACCCGUGCGAAUCGACGGGAUUCCGCAAGCGGUGGAUGAUGUGGAUUAAUUCGAUGCAACGCGAAAAACCUUACCUACCCUUGACAUGUCUGGAAUCCCGAAGAGAUUUGGGAGUGCUCGCAAGAGAACCGGAAAUAAGGUGCUGCAAUGGCUGUCGCCAGCUCGUGUCGAGAUGCCAAGGUUGGGUCCCAACGAGAGCGUAACCCUUGUCAUUAGUUGCUACGAGUGGGCACUCUAUCAGGACUGUCAGACAAACCGGAGGAAGGUGGGGAUGAUGUCAAGUCCCUCGCGGCCCUUAUGGGUAGGGCUUCACACGUCAUACAAUGGUCGGGACAGAGGGUCGCCAACCCGCGAGGGGGACGGUCCCAGAAACCGAUCGUAGUCCGGAUCGCAGUCUGCAACUCGACUGCGAAGUCGGAAUCGCUAGUAAUCGCGGAUCAGCAUGUCGGUGAAUACGUUCCCAAUCUUGUACACACCGCCCGUCACACCAUGGGAGUGGGUUUUACCAGAAGUAAGGCGCCCAACCGUAAGGAGGGCGAUUACCACGGUAGGAUUCAUGACUGGGGUGAAGUCGUAAUGUUGCAA